AGCCAUGUGUUAAGCACAAAGUGAACUAUAUUUUCCUCUUUUAUUAAAGAAUACCAUGUGAUUGCCAUAUUUAGUGGUAUAUGCCUAGUUUUGGAGAGUCUCCUCUUUGGUAGAGGACU